GAAGACAUUUCCUUGACGAUGAAAAUGGCAUAGAAUGCAGAAGAUAUGGAGCUUGAGGGAACAUCACAAAAGAGAAAAGAGAACAUAAAUUAUUCCUACCAAAGAAAAAUUAUAGAGAAGAAAAUUGAUUCUUCCUUAAAGGUGAGUAGAUGAGAAUUGUCUUUCAUUGUGACUAUCACUUGGAUC
rnacentral:lncRNA from 1 species